AGCAGCCGCGGUAAUUCCAGCUCCAAUAGCGUAUAUUAAAGUUGUUGCAGUUAAAAAGCUCGUAGUUGAAUUUCGGGGUUAGUAGGUUGGUCAUGCCUCUGGUAUGUACUGGUCUCACUGAUUCCUCCUUCCUGAUGAACCUUAAUGCCAUUAAUUUGGUGUUUUGGGGAAUUUGGACUAUUACUUUGAAAAAAUUAGAGUGUUUAAAGCAAGCUAACGCUUGAAUACAUUAGCAUGGAAUAAUGAAAUAGGACGUUCGAUCCUAUUUUGUUGGUUUCUAGGAUUGACGUAAUGAUUAAUAGGGAUAGUUGGGGGCAUUAGUAUUCAAUUGUCAGAGGUGAAAUUCUUGGAUUUAUUGGAGACUAACUACUGCGAAAGCAUUUGCCAAGGAUGUUUUCAUUAAUCAAGAACGAAAGUUAGGGGAUCGAAGACGAUCAGAUACCGUCGUAGUCUUAACCAUAAACUAUGCCGACUAGGGAUCGGAUGAUGUUAAUUUUUUAAUGACUCAUUCGGCGCCUUA
rnacentral:rRNA from 1 species